rnacentral:lncRNA from 1 species
AAAAAAACCCUGAGGCUGGACUGGUCAUUGGAAUUGGUGUCAGGCAAGAGGGCCCUGCUAUGAGGAGAGAAGAGCUGGGGGCUGGGGACUGGAGCAGGAAGGGACCCAGUCAAGGCCAACACUGACCCCAGAGGAUGAGCCCCUGGGAGGAAAUCGUCUCUUCAUGAUGUAGACUCCCACGCCCAAGUUUUGCCUGUAAAACUAGAACAGGUUCCAUCCAUGCUGAACUGCACGCCCUUUCUCAUCUUGGUUUCCCUCUGCAAUGACUCACUGGUCUGAGCACGUAUCUCCCCACAUCAGGGAUGGGAAGCACGGAGAAGACCGUGGUCCAGCGCCCUCUGAAGUCAUUGGCGACCGCGAUGGAAGUAGUUGGGGGUCGACAGUAAAGUUGGAGACUGAAAUUAUUUGAGCUCUUAAAAUGGGAUAAUAAGGUAACUUUCC